rnacentral:lncRNA from 1 species
CAAACAGACGCCGUGGGUCCUUCUCAUCAAGCGUCAGCAGUUCCCGGGCGGCCUUGCGGAUGUUGGCCAAGAUCAAAUGGAGAAAAAUAUCAACAAGAUAUACAAACAACUACCUGGCUACCUUCAUCAUACUCAGACUGGUACAGAACAGCUGGGGUCCCGGCUAAACCCUAUCCUUAAGCCUGGAACCGCCGCCCUAAGUGAAAACAGCUGACCCCAUUUUUCCAUCCAAAUGUUGCCUUUUUGGCCUGCCACACCUCUAUCCUGUGCCCACAAAAAGACUGCCGCUGGCAGAGCAACACAAGCGGCUGAUGGCUGAGCAUCAAAGACUACGGAUAGACACGGCUAACUUCAGAUGGCGCAGCUUCAGGGAAAGAUCACCUUCUUCCCACACCCUCCCCUGGCCUCCAUUCCACUGAGAGCCACUUCCAUCACCCAAUAAAAUCCUCCCCAUACACUACCCUACAAUCUGUUCGUGUGACCUAAUUCUUCCUGGACACCAGUCAAGAACCCGGAUGCUGAGAGGGCAGGGGCUUGGACGCUCCCGCACAGAGCCUGCUCCCACCAGAGAGGAGUGACUGGCCGGCUCCAGCGUUUGUUCCCUUCAGUUCCUGCACUCGCUUGCUCCCACGCUCCCUCUCAUGAGGAGUCACCAGCAGCAGGCUGAGCCAAAAAAGCCACUCCAGUUCCCGCCCAUGAAGAGGAUCAAGGUCAAGGUGAUGUAGGAGUUAAGACGAAAUCACUUAGACUGAUAGGGCAAGGGAGUCCUUGGUAAGGCUUUCCUUUUUAAUGAAAAGCAGCCCCGAAUCAUUUUCUAAUGAAGAGCGGCUUGUAAAGUUGAGCUGCAGAGAUAGGCAUGCAAGCUGGGAGCUUGCCUGGGUGAACGCCGGCCUGGCGGGAACAAGGAACUAGGGACUAGACAUGUUCAAUAUGGUGGCUCCAUCUUCCCUUCUCUGCCAGCCACGUGUACAGUUAACGAGCAGACAAGAGGGCUCUGGCCAUGGGGAGAGUUCAUUUACAUAAUAAGAUUAGGGUGGGGAGGGCUU